rnacentral:rRNA from 1 species
CACGCCGCGUGAGUGAAGAAGGUUUUCGGAUCGUAAAACUCUGUUGUUAGAGAAGAACAAGGAUGAGAGUAAAAUGUUCAUCCCUUGACGGUAUCUAACCAGAAAGCCACGGCUAACUACGUGCCAGCAGCCGCGGUAAUACGUAGGUGGCAAGCGUUGUCCGGAUUUAUUGGGCGUAAAGCGAGCGCAGGCGGUUUCUUAAGUCUGAUGUGAAAGCCCCCGGCUCAACCGGGGAGGGUCAUUGGAAACUGGGAGACUUGAGUGCAGAAGAGGAGAGUGGAAUUCCAUGUGUAGCGGUGAAAUGCGUAGAUAUAUGGAGGAACACCAGUGGCGAAGGCGGCUCUCUGGUCUGUAACUGACGCUGAGGCUCGAAAGCGUGGGGAGCGAACAGGAUUAGAUACCCUGGUAGUCCACGCCGUAAACGAUGAGUGCUAAGUGUUGGAGGGUUUCCGCCCUUCAGUGCUGCAGCAAACGCAUUAAGCACUCCGCCUGGGGAGUACGACCGCAAGGUUGAAACUCAAAGGAAUUGACGGGGGCCCGCACAAGCGGUGGAGCAUGUGGUUUAAUUCGAAGCAACGCGAAGAACCUUACCAGGUCUUGACAUCCUUUGACCACUCUAGAGAUAGAGCUUCCCCUUCGGGGGCAAAGUGACAGGUGGUGCAUGGUUGUCGUCAGCUCGUGUCGUGAGAUGUUGGGUUAAGUCCCGCAACGAGCGCAACCCUUAUUGUUAGUUGCCAUCAUUUAGUUGGGCACUCUAGCGAGACUGCCGGUGACAAACCGGAGGAAGGUGGGGGAUGACGUCAAAUCAUCAUGCCCCUUAUGACCUGGGCUACACACGUGCUACAAUGGGAAGUACAACGAGUUGCGAAGUCGCGAGGCUAAGCUAAUCUCUUAAAGCUUCUCUCAGUUCGGAUUGUAGGCUGCAACUCGCCUACAUGAAGCCGGAAUCGCUAGUA